GACGAACCGUGCGAACGUUGUUCGGAUUCACUGGGCUUAAAGGGCGCGUAGGCGGCUUGCCAAGUCAGGGGUGAAAUCUUUCGGCUCAACCGGAAAAGUGCUUCUGAUACUGGCGGGCUGGAGGAGGGUAGGGGCAGAUGGAACUUCCGGUGGAGCGGUGAAAUGCGUAGAUAUCGGAAGGAACGCCGGUGGCGAAGGCGGUUCUCUGGGCCUUACCUGACGCUGAGGAGCGAAAGCGUGGGGAGCGAACAGG
rnacentral:rRNA from 1 species